rnacentral:rRNA from 1 species
CCUACGGGUGGCAGCAGUGGGGAAUAUUGGGCAAUGGGCGCAAGCCUGAUCCAGCAACGCCGCGUGAGGGAAGAAGUCUUUCGGUUUGUAAACUUCUUUCCUCAGGGACGAAGCUAGUGGCGGUACCUGAAGAAUCCGCCACGGAUAACUACGUGGCAGCAGCCGUGGUAAUACGUAGGUGGGAAGCGUUUUGCGGUUGUGCUGGUGGUAAAGGCCGUGAAGGCGGGGCCGCAAGUCAGUAGUGAAAGCCACGGGAGCAACCUGGGGCCUGCAUUUGAAACUGUGUUGCUGGAGUGCUGGAGAGGCAGACGGAAGUCCUAGUGUAGCGGUGAAAUGCGUAGAUAUUAGGAGGAACACCAGUGGCGAAGGCGGUCUGCUGGACAGCAACUGACGCUGAGGCGCGAAAGCGUGGGGAGCAAACAGGAUUAGAUACCCGUGUAGUC